UCGAGGGUUGGCUAGAGAGAGCGGCCUGGCCGGGGAGCGGUGUCUUCACCAGUUACACGAAACAUGAAGAAUGAAUUUAGGGAUCAAAUGGAAUUAGUAGAUCGAGACGGUUCAAUGGAGUAAAUCCUGGAUAUUCUGAAAUCACACGCUUGAUUACCCUUGGACAGGAGAAGAAAAUGGAUGUUAUUCGUUUUGUGUGUGUUCUACGACGAACGUCAUAAAGUGAUUCUGCAGAAAGAGGUUGACGUCUAGCAGUGGGAAUUUCACUUAACAGCAAAUGAAUGUCGGAAGAUACGGCUCCGCUACCAAGUUAAAAAGAAGGAUGAGGUAAGG